AUUGAACGCUGGCGGCGUGCCUAACACAUGCAAGUCGAGCGAGAAAGCUCCUUCGGGAGUUAGUAAAGCGGCGAACGGGUGAGCAACACGUGAGAAUCUACCCUUUAGUGAAGAAUACCCUCGAGAAAUCGAGGCUAAUACUGCAUACGUCCCUUCGGGGAGAAAGAUGGCCUCUUUGCUAUCGCUAAAGGAUGAGCUUGCGUACUAUUAGCUAGUUGGCGGGGUAAAGGCCCACCAAGGCAAUGAUGGUUAACUGGCCUGAGAGGGUGUACGGUCACACUGGAACUUAGACACGGUCCAGACUCCUACGGGAGGCAGCAGUGAGGAAUCUUGCGCAAUGGGCGAAAGCCUGACGCAGCGACGCCGCGUGGAGGAUGACGGUUUUCGGAUUGUAAACUCCUGUUAAGCGGGAAGAAAGCCUUGUUUCUAAUACAAGCAAGGUAUGACGGUACCGCUAGAGAAAGCACCGGCUAACUUCGUGCCAGCAGCCGCGGUAAAGUGACG
rnacentral:rRNA from 1 species